GAAGGUAGCUCAGUUGGUAGAGCGUAAGACUGAAGCUCUUAAGGCCCCGGGCUCGAUUCCCGGUCUUCG
rnacentral:tRNA from 1 species